CAUGCAAGUCGAACGGAAAGGCCCCUUCGGGGGUACCCGAGUGGCGAACGGGUGAGUAACACGUGGGUGAUCUGCCCUGCACUUUGGGAUAAGCCUGGGAAACUGGGUCUAAUACCGAAUACACCUCAUGGGAUGCAUGUUUUGUGGGGGAAAGCUUUUGCGGUGUGGGAUGGGCCCGCGGCCUAUCAGCUUGUUGGUGAGGUUACGGCUCACCAAGGCGACGACGGGUAGCCGGCCUGAGAGGGUGUCCGGCCACACUGGGACUGAGAUACGGCCCAGACUCCUACGGGAGGCAGCAGUGGGGAAUAUUGCACAAUGGGCGCAAGCCUGAUGCAGCGACGCCGCGUGAGGGAUGACGGCCUUCGGGUUGUAAACCUCUUUCGCCAGGGACGAAGCGCAAGUGACGGUACCUGGAGAAGAAGCACCGGCCAACUACGUGCCAGCAGCCGCGGUAAUACGUAGGGUGCGAGCGUUGUCCGGAAUUACUGGGCGUAAAGAGCUCGUAGGUGGUUUGUCGCGUUGUUCGUGAAAACUCACA
rnacentral:rRNA from 1 species